CAACCCUCAAGUCCCCUGUGGACUCGGUGUUGGGGACCGGCGAGACAGCCGCGGAUCUUCUUCCGCAGCGAGUCGCCGCCCCCCAAAUGACUUGGCGGCCUCGUCGCGGCCCUCCUCUGCGUAGUAUAGCACACCUCGCAACAGGAGCCCGGCGAAUGGCCACUGCCGUAAAACCCCCCAACUUUUUCAG
rnacentral:misc_RNA from 2 species